AGCUAUUUAAAUUUUGGCGUGUAAACGUCUCAACUGAAAUCGUCAAUCAAACUUAAGCAACACAUGAAAGUCACUGAUAAAUAAACUGCUUCAACAUCAAUGAAUCAAUUCGAAUUUUAAAUUGAACUGUACAUUAUUGUAACAAAAGCUACUCUUUAAAUGUUCCUGUUUCAUCGUAAAUAUUUACAUUUCGCACAAGGUAAAUGCCAGAUGUUCUUAGGCGCCACAUACUAGUCGGUAAAAACCGGAUUAUUUUGCAUAAAAAUUGAACUGAAGAGUUCAAGUAUUGUCAAAGGUGAACACCAAGGUGUAACAUUGUUAUGCAAUUCAUGCAAAAAUAUUCCGAAACUACACAAAAAUGUUGUUCUGGGUUGAACAGAUGCAGCGAUAGCCUGAGUAAAACGCGUUUUCAUUUUUAUAAGUGCAAAGGAUGAAAAAUUGCAUCGUUUUUCAGCAGUGAAAAUAGCAGGGAUCGUAGAAGUGCUUUCUCCUUUUCGGAGUUUUGCAAUCAUCAUAUCUUUGAAGCCGCUGUUCUAAACAACUGGAUGGAUGUGAAUUGAUACCAUUCUCUGCAGUUUCUCUAUUUUCUUCGUAUUGGCCUUGUCGAAGGUCUCACCGUAGCACAGAGAGCAUAGCCAAACACACACCAACUCACUCAGUUACAAUGAAAAGUUUCUGUAAAUAUGUGCCCGCAAAUGCUGCGCUCUCAAGGUGUUGGAAGUUGCAAGCAGUUAUCCAUAAAUUUCUACUCGAUUCACUUGAGCUGCAUACUGUUGAUUAGCAAAUUAUGCUUAAAGUGUCCGCUUCCUGCAACACAAAUCUUGCCCUAUAGAAUGAGCAAAACAUGCGAACAGAACAGCCAGUGGAACAAUUACACUUACACACGAAAAGAAACACUACGCAAGAAGCAAAAUUUUUAAUAAUCUUCAUCUAAUUUCUUAUUCAAUAUAUCAACUCAAAAAAUUGAGCUGUCGUA